rnacentral:lncRNA from 1 species
AUAAAGGCAACAGUAGUAUACCGCUGUUCAAACUCAUAAAUCCAUGGACAAAAAACAAAAUCGGGGUUACAAACUAAAACUGACGGCAACGCAUAAAUAUUAGAGGAGAACAACGACACAACACUACAAUGUAACUAACACACACAGAAACAGACCAAGCAUCAGACAAAAUCCCACGAGAAUAACAAAUAUAAAAUCAAAACCAAAUACAUGAAUUUGGGAUAGACAAGUACCGUGACACGUCUUAUC